UAUUAGGUUGGUGCAAAAGUAAUUUCAGUUUUUGCCAUUACUUUCAUUGGAAAAAGGGCAAUUACUUUUGCACCUACUGAAUAGUU
rnacentral:miRNA from 10 species